UAGUCAUAUGCUUGUCUCAAAGACUAAGCCAUGCAUGUCUAAGUAUGAAUGUUAUACAGUGAAACUGCGAAUGGCUCAUUAAAACAGUUAUUGUUUAUUUGAUAAUCAAAUUUACAUGGAUAACCGUGGUAAUUCUAGAGCUAAUACAUGCUGAUAUGCCUGACUCUUAGGAAGGGCUGUAUUUAUUAGAUAACAAACCAAUAUUCCUCGUGUCUAUUGUGAUGACUCAUAAUAACUGAUCGAAUCGCAUGGACUUUGUCCGCGAUACAUCAUUCAAGUUUCUGCCCCAUCAGCUUUCGAUGGUAGUGUAUUGGACUACCAUGGCUUUAACGGGUAACGGAGGAUUAGGGUUCGAUUCCGGAGAGGGAGCCUGAGAAACGGCUACCACAUCUAAGGAAGGCAGCAGGCGCGUAAAUUACCCAAUCCUAAUUCAGGGAGGUAGUGACAAGAAAUAACGGACUGAGGCCUACGCUUCAGGAUUGCAAUGAGUAGAAUUUAAACCCCUUU
rnacentral:rRNA from 1 species